rnacentral:rRNA from 1 species
AACGAACGCUGGCGGCAUGCCUAACACAUGCAAGUCGAACGAGACCUUCGGGUCUUGUUGCGCACGGGUACGUAACGCGUGGGAACCUGCCCUUAGGUACGUAAUAACCCCUCGAAAGUGACUCUAAUACCGGAUAACUACUUCGGACCAAAGGUUUAACGCCUUUGGUUGGUCCCGGGUUGGGUUAACGAGGUGGUAGGGUAAAAGUCUACCAAGGCGGAGAUCCCUAGCUGGUCUGAGAGGAUGAUCAGGCACACUGGGACUGAGACACGGCCCAGACUCCCACGGGAAGGAGGAGGGGGGAAUAUUGGAAAAUGGGGGAAAGCCUGAACCCGCAAUGACGCGUGAGUGAUGAAGGGCUUAGGGUUGUAAAGCUCUUUUAACCGAGAAGAUAAUGACAGUACCGUGCGGAUAAGCCCCGGCUAACUCCGUG